AGGACGAGGAGCACCCGCGAUCCCCUUAGCCAGUGGCUUUACACAUCCCCAACCUAGGACAGGUAUCCACCGGAGCACCACAGGAUGGCUCCCCACAGAGGGCAGCAGGCUAACUGGGCAGCUGAUCUCAGAAACUACCGGAUUAUUGUUAAAAAACAAACACGUUAUGGAAGACUACUGACCAGUAGCCAGAAGGAAGGUCCUGAGUCAUCGAAGUGUUCUCCAGCUGGCAAAAGAGUAUGAAAACCCCCUGGCCAGAUCUGUCCUUGCUGGAGCAUCGAGAAUAGAGUACGACUACGAUACCAAAAUCUACAAAAUGUGAAAGAGUAAAGGAAAACUAUCAGUCCAUGACGUCCGGAAUGUUUGGCCCACUGGUGCACUCCUGUAUCCUUGCGCAAUGCACGUACUCACCAGGUACUUCCAUAAGAAGACUAAAUCACUACUUCGUGCCGCAACCAAGUUUGUUUCUUCUGGGAAGAAGAAUGGAAAACUUUUUCUCUGGAUGUGUGAGUGCCCCAGAAGAAAUAACCUAAACAUACUGACAUUUAGGGGUCCCCCAAUGAAAUGACUCAGCCAGAUCAUCUUACAGUGAUGUCCACCAGUUAGCAAGGCUUGUUCACGUGCGGAGCGCUUCCAUAGUUUUUCUGUGUGUGUGUCUAAAAUCUUAACAAAAGACAAAUGGCACCCCAGGUAUUUCUCUCUAUCUCUCUCAUCUUUCCCUGUAGUGUCUACAUUGUGGUGUGAGUGCUAAAAGCCAAAGAGAACAAGCCAGAAGAAGUCAUGUCCCCUUCAGUGGCCUAGCCUUGGAAGUUCCUCAACAUCAUUUGUACAUCAUUCUGAUUACAAAGGUCCACCGGGUUCAAUUAGAGGCAACAUAGUCCCCACCCUUGAUGGAGGAGUGUAAGUUGUUAUUCUGUAAGAAGGGCACAUGGAGUAGGACACAAAAAAGUAAUAAAAACAGCUUAUACACAAAGGAUGGAGAAGGAGAAUGACAUCACAAGUCCUUAGCAGAGCUGGAUGCCAGCAGACAAGGAACAGUGCCUCAGUGAGGAGCAAGGAAGAUAACUUUCAACCUAGAUUUCUAUACUCAGCCAAGCUAUGGCUAAAGAGUUAAGACAGGAUGAAGACAUUUGUAUAUAUUCAACUUUUUUAAAUGUUUAUUUAUUUAUUUUUGAGACACAGAGAGCAUGAA